rnacentral:tRNA from 1 species
GUUUUAAUAAUUUAAAUAAAAAUAUUAGUCUUGUAAACUAAAAAUAAUACAAUUUUUUAAAACA